UGAUAGCCGUUCUUCUCCAGGAUUUUCUGGUUGAGAGUAGAAUUCAUGGUCCCAUCACUAACAAUCAGCUCUCUUUUUUCUCAUUUUUGCUCUAAGCAGGCCUGGAAGAGAGUGAACUGACGGCGCGGACAAAUUACCAAAGUUGAUGUUCUAUCCAAGAGGGUUUUAAGCUUCACUGGUGAGAGUGUCCAGGUGAUACAUGUUGAGGGAAGAUGAGAACAUAGCAGGGUAAAGGUGGACCACAGGUUGCUUUGUUUCUGCUUAGCAACAACUGAGGUAAAUGGUGUUAAAGAUAAAUAUGCAAUAAGUGAACAAGAAAUGUGUGAGGGUGAGCCGGGUGAAACAAAAUGUUGUAGAUAAUGGAAACUUGUCUAACGGGCAUUAACAGUAACCUUUGCAUGUUAUGUAUAUGCUUGAGGCCAAAGGAGGCAUAAAUCCAGAUAGAAAACUUUGAAGUGUGCUUUUUAGCGGAGAUUUAGGCUGACAGGGGGAUGGUGUAUAUUUUACCCGGGGUGUGUUUAAUAAAAAAAAAAAACUAAAAGCGUUGCUCACACACAUAAAGAAGUCUAGCUGAAGAGCUUAACAAAGCAGACGUGGCAGUAGGGUUUGUGAUUUUGCCUGAUAUGAUAUUGGGAACCAACUUUGAAUAAUGACAGGAACCUGAGAUGAACACAGUAGGUUAGUAAGGUGUAGCAGAGAGAGGGUCAGAGCGAAGGUAGUGGACCUGGGAAUAGUGUAGUGACGUCUUUGGAAGACGUCAAAAGGGGAAUUGUAGAAUUAUAGGGACUAUUUUACAUAACCAUCAUCUUGUCAUUGCAUUAAUUAUCAUUUCAUCCAAGCAUUUAUUGAAGCUGCUGGCAUUAUGUUAUAAUUUAUAUUAUAGGGGUUAUCAUAAUCAAAUAUUAACAUGUUUAUUACAGGUGCAGUAUAACUACUUUAAAAUGAUUGAGUUAAAUAUAUAUAUAUCAUAACUCAUAUGCUGAGUAUAUUGUUACAGUAAAAUAGUAGCUGAGCAAAG
ensembl:lncRNA